rnacentral:misc_RNA from 1 species
GCGGAGGAAAAGAAACCAACAGGGAUUGCCUCAGUAACGGCGAGUGAAGCGGCAACAGCUCAAAUUUGAAAUCUGGCCCCCUCGGGGUCCGAGUUGUAAUUUGUAGAAGAUGCUUCGGGUGUGGCCCCGGUCUAAGUUCCUUGGAACAGGACGUCACAGAGGGUGAGAAUCCCGUAUGUGACCGGUGGCCUCCCCCGUGUGAAGCUCUUUCGACGAGUCGAGUUGUUUGGGAAUGCAGCUCAAAAUGGGUGGUAAAUUUCAUCUAAAGCUAAAUAUUGGCCAGAGACCGAUAGCGCACAAGUAGAGUGAUCGAAAGAUGAAAAGCACUUUGGAAAGAGGGUUAAACAGUACGUGAAAUUGUUGAAAGGGAAGCGCUUGCAACCAGACUUGCGCGCGGUCGAUCAUCCGGGGUUCUCCCCGGUGCACUCGGCCGUGCGCAGGCCAGCAUCGGUUUGGGCGGCCGGACAAAGGCCUCGGGAAUGUGGCUCCUUCGGGAGUGUUAUAGCCCGAGGUGCAAUGCGGCCAGCCCGGACCGAGGACCGCGCUUCGGCUAGGAUGCUGGCGUAAUGGUUGUAAGCGGCCCGUCUUGAAACACGGACCAAGGAGUCUAACAUCUAUGCGAGUGUUUGGGUGGCAAACCCAUCCGCGUAAUGAAAGUGAACGGAGGUGAGAACCCUUAAGGGCGCAUCAUCGACCGAUCCUGAUGUCUUCGGAUGGAUUUGAGUAAGAGCAUAGCUGUUGGGACCCGAAAGAUGGUGAACUAUGCCUGAAUAGGGUGAAGCCAGAGGAAACUCUGGUGGAGGCUCGCAGCGGUUC